AUCGAUACCAAUAAGAGUAUCGCUUGGUAUUAUUUUAUUACCGGAGUUCUUAGGGUGUAGAUAAAGGCCUGGUUUUAUUUUUGGAGGCAGCUCUCUUUCCAGUAUUUAGUUGUUGACACUUCUGACGCUAAAUUUAUUCCAAUCCCAUGUGCGUUUGAGGUAUGUAUAAAAUGAACUUUUAAACGAUUAAGAUUAAAUAGAGUUUAAAAACUUCCAGAUCGUUUCGCUCCACCAGUACAAAUUAUUCUGCUUUGGCGUGUAUGUAAACUCUGCCGUAACGAUCAAGGCACGAUGUUCUCAGUACCCACCGGGAAAUACAGAUAUCCUUCGUCCACCCAUGAUAGUAUGUGUCAUUGGCGAACAAAGGGUUUAUCACUUGGUUCGGAGGGCAUUUCUUCUCGAUACAUGGUUUAAUGGUAGUAUGAGGCCCAUAUUAAUACCUGAAUCUCCCCUGUGACUUGGAUUCCUGGCAUUCUUGAUCUACCUACUUCCCGAGGUAUCGUCGCUGGGCAGCGCAGCGGAAUGCACAACAAGGGGGAGAAAAAUGAUGACCGCGCAAAAUACAGCAGGAAUCCCCAUCGCCAAAGUUUUCUAAAUCAUGCUCGUAAUUAACAAAUCAUCCGUUUUCACAAGUCGAUUAUACUUAUAGCAUUUAGUAGGGGGAAAUCAUUUUUUGUUUAAAAGUACAAUAAGUAAUAAUCAAUUUAUGAAUGUCCUGCCAUUGUUACUCUGGUACAUAUGUAUAUUAAGUAGAAAAACAGGACAAUCAUUUCUUAAUAUGAAAUUCUUGUUACAUAUCUGUAUUACGUAACAUGAAAUGACAUACGUAUGUACAUAGAUAAUAAGUAAAUUUAAAUAUUCGAUGCAUUUAUUUAUAAUACUUAUACAUCGAUGUGGAACCGAAUAUCCGAGAUACAUUAAUAUUGACAACCGAGUAACAUCCACUAGUAACCUGUCAAGUAUUUUAUACCUCUUUGCCAGUACAAUUUCUAGAAAUUAUUUGGUAUAUGUAUGUACUUGUCAAACUUUGAGGGCCCAAGAUACGAAUACAUAAAUGGGUAAUGUUUUAUUUUCACGGGUAAAGUAUAGGGUAUCGCAGAGUUCAAGAAUUUAACAAUUACAAAAUUAUUUGCGGGGUCACGAUAUUUGAACUAAGCUAAACGACCAGCGCCGUACAUACAAAUGUUUCCCAAACUGACAUUAAAAGGAGAUCUUCAACCUAAUCGUCUGUACUAAAGCAGAAAUAACUCGUCCAGCUCUCUAUGAAAUAAGUACAUAUGUAUGGAUAUACGUAUUUGGUAUUUAAGUACACACUUGUUUUAAUUUAGACCGAGACUUUGCAAUAUAACCAUAACAUAGAUACAAACAGGUGUGUAUGUAUAUUGCGUUAGCAUUUGCGUUAAUUUUUAUUUUUUUUUUGCUGUAAAGCCUGCCCAAGAAUAAAUAUAUUUAACCAGUUUUGGGUUUGAAGUAUGAAUCCAUAAGAAAUUAUUGGGGUCACCGUAUCAAUAACUCAUCUUCUCCACGAUUCGUUAUACAUCAUUGCGUACGUGUG